AUAUAAUAAUACAUAAAGAACUUCAGAAAGAACUUGAAAAUCAAAAACAAUGCAAAAAUAUAAGGUUUGCUGGACAGGCUUAUUUAAGAUAUAGAAAUUAUUGAUUAUACCAAAAAAAAAAAAAAAAGCUCUUUGCGUGGGUCACAAAACAUAAUUCAUACUAUCAGCUGUUUGAAAACUAAAGAAUUUAAAAUGUUAUUGAUUUUAGCCACUAAAGGGAAGUUAUUCAUACAGGUAGAUUAGAGAAAGUGAUAAAGCACAGUCAGUCAUUAGGGUUGGUACUCUUGGUGCUGAGGCAGUCAGCAGUUUCCACUGAUCCUUAUCUUCUAUCACACCUAAAAGGGUCACAGUUUUAAAACCUCUCUAGUCCUUAAUGUUGUCAGAUCCUCCCUUCAGCUGCGCCCUAGAUUAUAGUUUUGGACAAGGUGUUAUGAUGAGAUAUUUGAUUGUUCCAAAUAUAUUUGGCAGCAUAUUAAUUGUCUGAUGAUUUGUUGUCUGACAAAGUUCUUUACCUAAUACUCUAGGUACAAGAUGGAGAACAGCCUUCUGAAGCACAUGUGCUCAAAUAUCUGUAUUUUUUUAUUCUGUGCUUGAUGUUAACGUAAGGUUUCAAACUCACAAAGGAAUAUUGAGAUACCUUGGGAUUGUUAUUGUAUGAAUAUAAAAUUCAUAGAAUAACUGAUAGAACUGCUUUACCAAAUGAUGUUCAACUUUGUCACGGCAGAUAAGGUCAAACCCAAUAGACUUACAUCUAUCUCCUUUAUUGCUCAAAGUCAGACCAACAUACUUAAAAUUGUCCACUUCAUUCAGUUUUUGUCCAUUCAGUAUGAUAUUUGUUAUUGUGUUCUGGUUGUGGCUUUCUAUACUUUUGCGUUACUGCCUCCCAUUAGCUGAUAUUGUCAGCAAAACACUUAUUAAAAUGUGGUCAUCUACCAAUAGAAACAGAA